AACGAACGCUGGCGGCAUGCCUAACACAUGCAAGUCGAACGAGAACUUCCGGCCUUGUUGCGGUCCUGUAGGUACCACGUGGGAACCUGCCCGUAGGUUCGCUAUCCUUCCCUGUAAGGUGACCUCAUACCGCUUAGUCUCUUCCGGCAAAAGAUCUAUUGCCUUUGGAUGGGGGCUCGUUGGUUUCGCUAGUUGGUAGGGUAAAAGCCUACCAAGGCGACGUUGCUUAGCUGGUGUGAGAGGAUGAUCAGCCCCACUGGGACUGAGACACGGCCCAGACUCCUACGGGAGGCAGCAGUGGGGAAUAUUGGACAAUGGGCGAAAGCCUGAUCCAGCAAUGCCGCGUGAGUGAUGAAGGCCUUAGGGUUGUAAAGCUCUUUUACCCGGGAUGAUAAUGACAGUACCGGGAGAAUAAGCUCCGGCUAACUCCGUG
rnacentral:rRNA from 1 species